ensembl:lncRNA
UCAGACUAUGGUGUUAUCCUGACCACCUGAUCAUCAGACUAAGGUGCUUUCCUCCCUUGUUGGUCAUUAAACUAUGUUGUUGUUCUACCAGCCCACCCAUAAGCUCUAGUCUACAACUAAUCAUCUUAUAUCCUCUAGUCUCUGAGUAUGUUUUUAUUUCCAUACUUUUCUUGAAAACAGUCAUAACAAGACUGCGUAAUGACAACAUUAAGGCCUAACAUCAUGUAACGGUCAUUGGCAAUUGUCUUAUUUAAUUAGAGUGCACAGUUUUAGUGUAGCUGGUAGGCAGAAACCAAACAUACAAAGUGUAGUUUGCAGGGUGAAACAUAGAACACAACAUGUAAUUUGUGUGUAGUACAAUUGUGAUACAACAAUUUUGCAUUUACUGGGCAAUGCAGUGGCUAAAGUCCAGAACACCUGAUCCAGGUGUUUUUCCAGAACACCUGGUCAGGGGAUGCAUGUUUUCCUCCAAAAUGUAUGCCCUUUUAAAACUGUGAAUUUGAAAGCUGGUUACUGGUGACUGUGUCUCUGAAUUAGAAGUCCAUUUUAUGUGGUACCUGAUUCCAAUGCUCUGGGGAUUGUUGCGCAAAUAGUGUUUGUCUUAUUAUGGAAGAGGAAGUUUACAAUGUGUGGUUUUGUCCUUUUCCUCUUUUCAGGGCCAAUACUGUCCCAUCAUCAGUGCAAUUGUUCCUUUCUUGUCUGUCACAUUACCCAGAGCUGAUUAACAUGUUUUCUGCGCUGUUAUUAGGGGAAGGGAAAAUGUGUAGGAGUGGUGGUUGUCGUGGUGGUUCGCGCGCGCGUACACAAACAUGCGAUAGGAACAUCCCAUAUCAUAUACAAAUAGUUUUUAUCGCUUUAUGUUGAAUGUGAAUAUUUUAUCUGGCACUUUUGCUGGCAAAAAUGUUGUACAUUGUGAGUCCUGCUGUAUUUUGAGAAUACAAUGUAAAACUGAAGGUACUUUAAAUAGUUUUUACUUACUUUUUCCCAACUCAAUAAAGAUGCUGUCAUUUUC